rnacentral:lncRNA from 1 species
AAACAAGAUUUUGACGAAAAUAGGUUUUAACUUGACUCAAAACACUUAAAAACACAAACUAACACACUUUCUAACUAAUUUGACACUUGAAAACAAAGGGGGAUUUGGUUUUUAAGAAAUUGAAAACAAAAUAUAAACUUGUAAAUCAAAACAGAUUUUAAAACGAAUUUGGUUUAAAUUAAUGGAUGGAAAGCUAGCUAAGGGGUUCAUCUCCGCACAUGUUAUACUUGCAUUCAAAACGAUCUCCAAUUGCUUUUCAAUAACCCAUGAAUUCUCAACGCCCCAAG